AAGCUUUGGAAGAAAAGCACGGCAUGGAGGACACCAAUGCGCUGAAAAGUACAGGAGGAUGGUCUUCCCCACUAAAUCAGACACUGGAACCUGAAAACAGUAGUAGAAGUCAUCAGUUAGAGAGAUUUUUUUGGGAGGUAGUUGGAGAGAGAUUUUUUUGGGAGGUAGUUGGGUGGUUUGGGGCUUUUUCUUUUUCUUGCUUUUUGGUGGUUUACUGUUUGUUUGAAUAGUGGCGAAACUCACAGUUACAAAAACAAAUCCAAUUGAUGAACCCAUGCAUGGUUACAGUAGUCAAUGAAACAGGAACACACAGCUAAGGAGAUUUUAAAGUUAGCAGCAGAAUCCAGAAACUUGAAAGUAUCAUACCUU
rnacentral:lncRNA from 1 species